rnacentral:rRNA from 1 species
GAUGAAUGCUGGCGGCGUGCCUAACACAUGCAAGUCGAGCGGCAGCGAGGGGUGCUUGCACCCUGUCGGCGAGCGGCGAACGGCUGAGUAACGCGUAGGAAUUUGCCCCAAAGUGAGGAAUAACUGCCCGAAAGGGUAGCUAAUGCCGCAUAUGGUCUUCGGAUUACAGGAUUUAUCCGCUUUGGGAGAAGCCUGCGUUGGAUUAGGUUGUUGGUAGGGUAAUGGCCUACCAAGCCGACGAUCCAUAGCUGGCCUGAGAGGAUGAUCAGCCAGACUGGAACUGAGACACGGUCCAGACUCCUACGGGAGGCAGCAGUGAGGAAUCUUCCACAAUGGGCGAAAGCCUGAUGGAGCAACGCCGCGUGAAGGAUGAAGGCCUUCGGGUUGUAAACUUCUUUUAUGAGUGAAGAAUAUGACAGUAACUCAUGAAUAAGCACCGGCUAACUACGUG